rnacentral:lncRNA from 1 species
AUUAAUCUGAUGCAGCCUCCAUGGCUCACAUGAUCCCCACCAUGUAUGAAAUGGGCUGGGCACCCAGGGACAGGCUAUUCUCAGAAUGGGGUUAUUGGGUGUGUUUCUUAUUCCUCUCUACCUAGUAUUCUUGGAAGAAGGUGAAUGAAAAUGCUCUAGUAGGGGAGGGAAACAUGAUUAAUGGGUGGGGGCUUAUGAGUCAGAAAGACCCAACCAUCACUUCUGCCCUGACUGCCUGUGUGACUUCAGAAAUGGGGGAUAUCAAAGCCUAUCUCAUAGGAUUAAACAGUUUAAUGUGUAUAAAAUGCCUAACACAGUGCUUGCCACAUAAGCAUUGCUCAUUAAAUGUCUUCUCUUCUUGUGCUCCUCAUUCAGUGUAUAGUAAAUGUGCAGUCCUUAUCUUUUAAAUGAAUGAAACAUCUCAUUACCAAAUCUAUUCAAGGUAAACAUUGAUAUUAAUAUGUAUCCUUUUUGUGUGUUUCUAGAAUCCUGUUACACCUGGGAUUUAGGCACUUUCAAUCUGAAAAAAUACAUAUCCUUUCAGCACUCUGGACGGACUUGAGAACUGUCCUUACGUGACCUAAAGCUGGAGUAUUUUGAGAUUGGAGAAUUAAGGUAAGCGACUUUAUCUUCCUGAUCCUUGUGAAACCAAAAAUAGCUUUUGGAGUUGACGACCUCCUGCAGCACAGCUUGGGUUGUGGUUCUUGACCUCUCGGUGUGUCUUCCUGUGCCGCUCCAAUGUGUUCGGGAAGCUGGCUCCCCAUAACCUCUCCCCGACCUGGUUCUCAGAGUCUAGUCCACUUAUUCAUUGUGCCUAGGAAGCUCUCCCUCUGUCCCUAGUGGAGGGAGGAGCCCACCAUCUCCUAGUGAAUGCGCCACUUGUAGCAGAAGGUGCAGGAUGCUCCAGCUGUCUUGUGAAAACAUGUGGAGACAGCCUUGGGGAAAAGAGGAAAAGGUGAGGUGAGGGUUAUAUAAUCAGAUUGAAACACCUUUGGGACAUCCAGAACAUGAGCUCUUCCUCCUUUCCCAGCCAAUCCGUGCUUCCUCCUUUCACCUCCUUGAAUUCUAUGCUCCUUCCACACUAAGGCUGAGGGUGCAGGAGGUAAAGGGUUAGAGGUUAAGACUGAGUGCUUCAGGUAGACUUGGGUUUUCUUGGUUUUGCUACUUGCCUCAUUUUGGACAAGUCACUCAGCCUCUCAAAGCCUUGGUCUCCUCAUUAGUAAAAUAGGGAUGGUAUUAGUGCCUGCCUCAUGAAGAUGUUGUUUGUGUUGAGUGAGAUAUUGGAGCAAAACAGCUUAGCAGGCUGCCUUGCACUGAGGAAGAAAUGCUCCAAAAGGGCUGAUGGGACCUCAGUCAUGUGGCAGAGAAUCUGAAAGCCAGAAGCUUGGCAGGUCUGUCUCGGGGUGGGGUGACGGAGAGACAUUUCCCUAGAAUUCAGCUGCUGGGAGCAGAAAGACAGAGCAGGGGCAAGUGCUGGGUUUCUGAGGCCCGCAGUCCUGAGCAUGGCCUCAGGCAGUCUGUUCUAUGACAGAACCUGAAGAAAGGCCCAGGCAUUUGCAUCUAUGUGUGCAGUUCUACUUGUCCUAAAGGCACUUCUCACACUGGGAGCCUGCCUGUCUGUACCUGUCUAGAAAUCAGCCUGGCUGGGACGCACACCAAUAGGAGGGCAUCCUCACCUUUCCCACCCAUGAGUCGGGACUGUUGCCUGCUGUGCAGCAAAGGCACCAGGAACACGGAGUCAGACACUUAGGGUCUACCCCAGGCUCCACUUCCCACUGCCUAUUUGACUCUGGGCAAGUCUUUUACAGCUUUUCAAACUUCUCUCUUUCUUAAAAC